GAUGAACGCUGGCGACAGGCUUAACACAUGCAAGUCGAGGGGAAACGCCGGGGAAGCUUGCUUCUCCGGGCGUCGACCGGCGCACGGGUGAGUAACGCGUAUCCAACCUGCCUCUGACUGAGGGAUAACCCGACGAAAGUCGGCCUAAUACCUCAUUGCAUCGCCUGCGGGCAUCCAACGACGAUUAAAGUUUUCAUCGGUCAGGGAAGGGGAUGCGUCUGAUUAGCUUGUUGGCGGGGUAACGGCCCACCAAGGCUACGUUCAGUAGGUGUUCUGAGGGGAAGGUCCACCGCAUUUGAGCUGCGGCCCAGACCACUCUCCUACGGGAGGGAGCAGUAUGGUCUGUUGGUCGCUGGGCGGGAGCCUGACCCAGCCGAGUAGCGUGCAGGAGGCCGGCCCUCUGAGUUGUAAGCUGCUUUUGUGCGGGGAUAAAGUGAGGGACGUGUCCUUCAUUGCCGGUACCGAAUGAAUAAGGACCGGCUAACUCCGUG
rnacentral:rRNA from 1 species